AGACCCGAAACCCGGUGAUCUAGCCAUGGGCAGGUUGAAGGUUGGGUAACACUAACUGGAGGACCGAACCGACUAAUGUUGAAAAAUUAGCGGAUGACCUGUGGCUGGGGGUGAAAGGCCAAUCAAACCGGGAGAUAGCUGGUUCUCCCCGAAAGCUAUUUAGGUAGCGCCUCGUGAAUUCAUCUCCGGGGGUAGAGCACUGUUUCGGCUAGGGGGCCAUCCCGGCUUACCAACCCGAUGCAAACUGCGAAUACCGGAGAAUGUUAUCACGGGAGACACACGGCGGGUGCUAACGUCCGUCGUGAAGAGGGAAACAACCCAGACCGCCAGCUAAGGUCCCAAAGUCAUGGUUAAGUGGGAAACGAUGUGGGAAGGCCCAGACAGCCAGGAUGUUGGCUUAGAAGCAGCCAUCAUUUAAAGAAAGCGUAAUAGCUCACUGGUCGAGUCGGCCUGCGCGGAAGAUGUAACGGGGCUAAACCAUGCACCGAAGCUGCGGCAGCGAACGUAUCACUUAAAGCGAUUCAGCGGGUUACGAUUGACGGAGCGAAGCGACGUCAAAGCGUAUACAAAGUCGAGUCGGUUUAAGGAUACGUUCGUUGGGUAGGGGAGCGUUCUGUAAGCCUGUGAA
rnacentral:rRNA from 2 species